rnacentral:rRNA from 1 species
GAUGAACGCUGGCGGCGUGCCUAAUACAUGCAAGUCGAGCGAACAGACGAGGAGCUUGCUCCUUCGACGUUAGCGGCGGACGGGUGAGUAACACGUAGGUAACCUACCUAUAAGACUGGGAUAACUUCGGGAAACCGGAGCUAAUACCGGAUAAUAUUUCGAACCGCAUGGUUCGAUAGUGAAAGAUGGCUUUGCUAUCACUUAUAGAUGGACCUGCGCCGUAUUAGCUAGUUGGUAAGGUAACGGCUUACCAAGGCAACGAUACGUAGCCGACCUGAGAGGGUGAUCGGCCACACUGGAACUGAGACACGGUCCAGACUCCUACGGGAGGCAGCAGUAGGGAAUCUUCCGCAAUGGGCGAAAGCCUGCCGGAGCAACGCCGCGUGAGUGAUGAAGGUCUUCGGAUCGUAAAACUCUGUUAUUAGGGAAGAACAAACGUGUAAGUAACUGUGCACGUCUUGACGGUACCUAAUCAGAAAGCCACGGCUAACUACGUG